rnacentral:rRNA from 1 species
UAUCUGGUUGAUCCUGCCAGUAGUCAUAUGCUUGUCUCAAAGAUUAAGCCAUGCAUGUCUCGGCAUAAACCUACGUAUGGUGAAGCUGCGAAUGGCUCAUUAGAACAGUUGUGGUUUAUCUGGUACUUGAAAGAUAGAUGGAUAACUGUGGUAAUUCUAGGGCUAAUACAUGCGUAAAAACCGGACUUCGAGGAACGGUUGUACUUAUUAGACAAAGAACUAAUCCGUUUCGGCGGCAUUUAGAUGAAUCAUAAUAAAAGCAUGGAGCGUAUGACUUGUGUCGGCGCUACACCAUUCAAGUUUCUGACCUAUCAGCUUUCGACGGCAGGGUAUUGGCUUACCGUGGCAUUGACGGGUAACGGGGAAUUAGGGUUCGAUUCCGGAGAGGAAGCCCGAGAAACGGCUACCACAUCUAAGGAAGGCAGCAGGCGCGCAAAUUACCCACUCCUGACACAGGGAGGUAGUGACAAGGAAUAGCAAUGCAGGUGGCAAUUGCCAUUGUGCUAUUGGAAUGAGUGGACUUUAAAUCCCUUUUCGACUAUCGAUUGGAGGGCAAGUCUGGUGCCAGCAGCCGCGGUAAUUCAGCUCCAGUAGCGUAUAUUAAAGUUGUUGCGGUGAAAAGCUCGUAGUUGGGUUCUGCGGAGAAGCGCGGUCCGCACUUGUGCGUGUAUCUGGUCUACCUACGCAUCUUCAGUGAACGCUACUGCGCUUAUUGCGUGGCGCGGCAUCUGACNUUUACUUGAGAAAUUGCAUGUUACAGCGAGCGAAUUGGUUGAACAU